CACCCGCACGUAUAGUUGGACAAGAAUAGGCUUCGGCUUAGCGUCUCAGCAGGCGAUUCUUCCACGGCGUCAGAAUGAUGUCUUGGUAUUUCGCGUAUUGUAAUUUAGGCACGAGCGGGGUUAAAUCCUUUGCAGACGACUUAGCUGUGCGAAACGGUCCUGUAAGCGGUAGAGCGGCCUUGUUGCCACGAUCCGCUGAGGGUAAGCCGUAUCUUCGCCCCGAUUUCC
rnacentral:ncRNA from 1 species